AAGUCGUAACAAGGUUUCCGUAGGUGAACCUGCGGAAGGAUCAUUACUGAACAACGCGCGCGCCUCUGGCGGGUGCGUGUGCACACCCCAUUCACGAGGGUCGUGUUUGUCCACCUCUUGUGCCUCCUUGUGGUGGACCAUGCUCAGGACGCUGUUCCGCGUCACCUGGCGGUCUGUGGCCGCCGGGAGGGCUGGUCUACUGUGCCUCUCACCAAAACAAACCUGUCGUCCUAUUAUGAUGUUGGCAUCCUUUCAUCGGUUGCCCUUGUAUAAUAAAUAUAACUUUCAACAACGGAUCUCUUGGCUCUCGCAUCGAUGAAGAACGCAGCGAAAUGCGAUAAGUAAUGUGAAUUGCAGAAUUCAGUGAAUCAUCGAAUCUUUGAACGCACCUUGCGCUCCUCGGCAUUCCGAGGAGCAUGCCUGUUUGAGUGUCGUUGAAUUCUCAAAUCCGUUCCUGCUUGUGGUGGACCCAUUGAAUGGCCCUUUCCGGAAUGCAACCCUGGGGAGGGUGUGCCCUCUUCUCCACGGGGAUGAGGAGGCUUUGCUGCAUAGUAUUGUCUGGCCGCAUAUGNNNNNNCGACAGUAUCUGUGUGUGUGACGCCGGCUGANGGCCCCGCCAUUGGUCCCUCCUACCACUUGCUCAAGGGAACCCAGGUUGUUUGGUGCCGUCAGCUGCAUGCUGGUGGAGGCCAAACCCUCCUGGUGUUGGGUUUGGAUCGGUGGAGGANGCAUUGGCCACCCCAACCGGGGGUGAGUUUUUUUUUCCCUUUGCUCNUCUNAAANGCAGCCGUGGUCACGACGCAGGCACGCACCCGUUCUGUCGGUAUGAUACACGUCUUACCUGCUUUCAACGGGGGNGCUGCACCACACACACACACUCUCACGNUUUGACCUCAAAUCAGGCAGGACUACCCGCUGAACUUA
rnacentral:rRNA from 1 species